AUUGAACGCUGGCGGCAGGCCUAACACAUGCAAGUCGAGCGAGCGGCGGGCGGGUGAGUCAUUUAUGGGUACUGCCCGCUAGAGGGGGAUAAAUACUGGAAACGGUGGCUAAUACAUCCUACUGUCGGAUAACCCAUAUGGGAUUAGCUAGUGGGUAAGGUAAUUGAUUACCUAGGAGACCAUCCCUCGCUGGUCUGAGAGGAUGAUCAGCCACACUGGGACUGAGACACGGCCCAGACUCCUACGGAGGCAGCAGUGGGGAAUAUUGCACAAUGGGCGAAAGCCUGAUGCAGCCAUGCCGCGUGUAUGAAGAAGGCCUUAGGGUUGUAAAGCACUUUCAGUCGGGAGGCGUUACUGACAGAAGAAGCACCGGCUAACUCCGUGCCAGCAGCCGCGGUAAUAC
rnacentral:rRNA from 1 species